rnacentral:rRNA from 1 species
GCGGCGUGCCUAAUACAUGCAAGUCGAGCGGAUCUUCAUUAGCUUGCUUUUGAAGAUCAGCGGCGGACGGGUGAGUAACACGUGGGCAACCUGCCUGUAAGACUGGGAUAACUUCGGGAAACCGGAGCUAAUACCGGAUAAUCCUUUCCCUCACAUGAGGGAAAGCUGAAAGACGGUUUCGGCUGUCACUUACAGAUGGGCCCGCGGCGCAUUAGCUAGUUGGUGAGGUAACGGCUCACCAAGGCAACGAUGCGUAGCCGACCUGAGAGGGUGAUCGGCCACACUGGGACUGAGACACGGCCCAGACUCUACGGGAGGCAGCAGUAGGGAAUCUUCCGCAAUGGACGAAAGUCUGACGGAGCAACGCCGCGUGAACGAUGAAGGCUUUCGGGUCGUAAAGUUCUGUUGUCAGGGAAGAACAAGUAUCGGAGUAACUGCCGGUACCUUGACGGUACCUGACCAGAAAGCCACGGCUAACUACGUGCCAGCAGCCGCGGUAAUACGUAGGUGGCAAGCGUUGUCCGGAAUUAUUGGGCGUAAAGCGCGCGCAGGCGGUUCCUUAAGUCUGAUGUGAAAGCCCCCGGCUCAACCGGGGAGGGUCAUUGGAAACUGGGGAACUUGAGUGCAGAAGAGGAGAGCGGAAUUCCACGUGUAGCGGUGAAAUGCGUAGAGAUGUGGAGGAACACCAGUGGCGAAGGCGGCUCUCUGGUCUGUAACUGACGCUGAGGCGCGAAAGCGUGGGGAGCGAACAGGAUUAGAUACCCUGGUAGUCCACGCCGUAAACGAUGAGUGCUAAGUGUUAGAGGGUUUCCGCCCUUUAGUGCUGCAGCAAACGCAUUAAGCACUCCGCCUGSGGAGU